rnacentral:tRNA from 1 species
GGUCAUAAUUAGCCAAGUGGAUCAAGGCAGUGGAUUGUGAAUCCACCAUGCGCGGGUUCAAUUCUCGGUGUUCGCCC